UAUACAAUAAGCGGAGGAAAAGAAACCAACGGGGAUUGCCCUAGUAACGGCGAGUGAAGCGGCAACAGCUCAAAUUUGAAAUCUGGCGCAAGCCCGAGUUGUAAUUUGUAGAGGAUGCUUCUGGGUAGCGACCGAUCUAAGUUCCUUGGAACAGGACGUCAUAGAGGGUGAGAAUCCCGUAUGUGACCGGCCCGCACCCUUUACGUAGCUCCUUCGACGAGUCGAGUUGUUUGGGAAUGCAGCUCUAAAUGGGAGGUAAAUUUCUUCUAAAGCUAAAUACCGGCCAGAGACCGAUAGCGCACAAGUAGAGUGAUCGAAAGAUGAAAAGUACUUUGGAAAGAGAGUUAAAAAGCACGUGAAAUUGUUGAAAGGGAAGCGCCUGCAACCAGACUUCGCGGCAGUGUUCCGCCGGUCUUCUGACCGGUUCAUUCUCUGUCGCGAGGCCAUCAUCGUCUGGGCCCGCCGGAUAAGACCUUAGGAAUGUAGCUCACCUUCGGGGGAGUGUUAUAGCCUAGGGUGAUGCGGCGAGGCUCGGGCGAGGUCCGCGCUUCGGCAAGGAUGAUGGCGUAAUGGUUGUCGGCGGCCCGUCUUGAAACACGGACCAAGGAGUCUAACAUCUAUGCGAGUGUUCGGGUGUCAAACCCCUACGCGUAAUGAAAGUGAACGGAGGUGGGAACCGCAAGGUGCACCAUCGACCGAUCCUGAUGUCCUCGGAUGGAUUUGAGUAAGAGCAUAGCUGUUGGGACCCGAAAGAUGGUGAACUAUGCCUGAAUAGGGUGAAGCCAGAGGAAACUCUGGUGGAGGCUCGCAGCGGUUCUGACGUGCAAAUCGAUCGUCAAAUUUGGGUAUAGGGGCGAAAGACUAAUCGAACCAUCUAGUAGCUGGUUCUGC
rnacentral:rRNA from 1 species